AGUUGACAUGCCCCUUCUCCCCUUAACGCAGGCAAAGCUAGGAUUUCAAGAAACGCUUCCCAUAAUCAAAGAAAUGCAACUUCUUUAAUUCAAAAAAGGUCUGGAUGUUGACAUGCUCCUUCUUCCCGUAACGCAGGCAAAGCUAAGAUUUCAAGAAAAGCUUCCCAUUAUCAAAGAAAUGCAACUUCUUUAAUUCAAGAAGGUCUGACGCCAAAGACAACGCAAAAUAUCAAGGCGAAUGAAGCAUAUCUAUCUUGUUCCUCAGACCAACAAUAUGUCUUACUAAAAGGGGGUUAGAAAAGACAAUUGUUUACAACCUUAAUCCAAAUCGGAGAAAGACAAAGAGGUUGGAUUAACAACAGAAAAAGUAAAAUAAAAUAAAAUUAUAAAGAAAUCCGGGUCAACAGUGUGAAGGAGGAGAACAAUAAAUCCAAAUUUCAAGAAAAUCAAAAAUCCAGGAAAGAGGGGAAGGUGAAGAGAAAAAGCAGAAGAACAAUAUAAGAGAAGAAGCAACGGUUGGAUCAAGAAGAGGUCAGAAAGAUGAGUCAGAUGUUUCGCGUACCGUCGCCAUCGGGGGGUAGGACGCCGGAGAUCAUCGAUUCUAAAGGAUUCGAAGGAAGGGAGAAUGUUGAGCUGAAUCGUUCGAAGUCACGGACCUCACGGUAGGUUUCUCUCUUCCUCCACCGACAGUGGGAUGUGGGAGAGG
rnacentral:lncRNA from 1 species